GACAGCAGUCGCCGCGGGAAUACAGAGGGUGCGAGCGUUAAUCGGAUUUACUGGGCGUAAAGCGUGCGUAGGCGGCUUCUUAAGUCGGAUGUGAAAUCCCUGAGCUUAACUUAGGAAUUGCAUUCGAUACUGGGAAGCUAGAGUAUGGGAGAGGAUGGUAGAAUUCCAGGUGUAGCGGUGAAAUGCGUAGAGAUCUGGAGGAAUACCGAUGGCGAAGGCAGCCAUCUGGCCUAAUACUGACGCUGAGGUACGAAAGCAUGGGGAGCAAACAGGAUUAGAUACCCAGUAGUCCCUGUCUCUUAUACA
rnacentral:rRNA from 1 species